rnacentral:rRNA from 1 species
CCUACGGGAGGCAGCAGUGAGGAAUAUUGGUCAAUGGGCGAGAGCCUGAACCAGCCAAGUCGCGUGAGGGAGUACUGCCCUAUGGGUUGUAAACCUCUUUUGUCGAGGAGCAAAAGCAGGACGUGUCCGGCUGUGAGAGUACCCGAAGAAAAAGCAACGGCUAACUACGGCCCAGCAGCCGCGGAAAUUCGGAGGUGGCGGGCGUUUUCCGGAAUGAUUGGGCGUAAAGGGUGCGUAGGCGGUCUGCUAAGUCUGGAGUGAAAGGUACCGGCGAAACCGGUACCGGCCCUGGAAACUGGCGGGCUAGAGAGCAGGAGAGGGCGGUGGAACUCGAGGUGUAGCGGUAAAAGGCGUAGAUAUAUGGAAGAACACCAGUGGCGAAGGCGGCCGCCUGGCCUGUUACUGACGCUGAGGCACGAAAGCGUGGGGAGCAAAUAGGAUUAGAUACCCUUGUAGUC